GUAUCUUAAAUUCAUGAGUAAGAAAAAUAAUGAUUCAGGGUGAUGCCCUAAUCUUCACUGCUAAUGUGAGACAAAUUUUGAGCAUAAAAAAAGUUGUUCCUGAGGUGAUCUACUUAGCUAAAUACCUGGUAAUCAUGAUCUGUCUA